CUGCCCCCAACACCACUCCAGCUUCUGCCAGACAGAUGGAAUUCUCCAACAUGAAAAUCAGCGCAGACAUUCCAGCAAGCAGGAUUCUGCCUGAGGUUGUCGAAAAAUGCCACCGAGGAAAAGGACUUGAGGACCUUUUGAGCGCUCUUACCCCAAGACUGAGGUUUUUCAUCGUUCAAUACAGUGGAGGCUGACAAGAUCAUCCUUUCCACAAUUAAGGAUAUCUACCCAUUGAUGUGCUGUUAUCCAUCAGAGGUUUUCAAGUAUGACUUCUCCAACUCAAGGAAAAGUUCCUGAAUCCAGCCAGACAGGCGUUAGGGGAGAAACAGCGCCUCCUGCAGUACUCAUGAUGUGUUGCCAGAGAAAGUGGCUUCGGCAUUUUUAAAAAUACUUUUCUCCGUAGUUAUCUUCCAGCCUGUAAACCACUAGAUAGGUUUGUAAGUUCAUCUAGAUCUAGAUUCUCGGUCACCUUUAUGUCCUCUGGCUUCAUAGAUAAAAAAGAAAUAAUAAUAAAGGAAUAAAAAAAUUGUUUUUGACUGCAUCAUUCCAUUCUUAAAGCCCCCUGAUGGAUUUAUUACCCUAAUUGUUGUAUUUACUAUCUCCCACACACGUGUUUGUGGGAAAGUGUUCCUUUUGGUAUUUGCCUAGUUGGAGGAAGGAACACUAGGAUUGUGACCAUGGAUUUUGCUCUCAAAGCACAUGGCUCUGUGGCAACACAAAGCUUUCAUAAACUUAGCUUUUCAUUGUGGGGUGCAACUGCUGCAGCACCGUCUUCCCCGACGCUGCAUGGUUAUUCCGGGCCAGACCUCUUUUAAGAUCAACAGUUCUUGCAUAAUGUGGGGUUUUGUACUGUUGUAAAGAGACAUGGUACCUCUUGUAGGAGGAAUUUGGAAGACUUCACCUCAGCAAUCAAGAUGUGUAUUGUGAUGAUUAACUGAAUCUUGUGGAUAUUCUAUUUCUACGUUAAGUGAAAGAAAAUGAGAACAGAUUUUAUUAUCUUCACUUCUCAAAAAUACUCAGGAGUUUUCAGUGUAUAUUGUCUUAUCCUGGAAUUAAUUUUUUCAAUUCCUGUUGGUUCUUAUGGAUUAUACUGUGAGAAGCACCUGAAAGAAAUUCGAAAUAAAGGACACAA